rnacentral:tRNA from 1 species
GGGGCUGUAGCUCAGUGGUAGAGUGCUUGCCUCAAAUGCCCAAGGUCCUGGGUUCAAUCCCCAGCACCA